rnacentral:rRNA from 1 species
UUAGUGGAAGCGUCUGGAAAGGCGCGCGAUACAGGGUGACAGCCCCGUACACAAAAGCGCAUGUGCUGUGAGCUCGAUGAGUAGGGCGGGACACGUGGUAUCCUGUCUGAAUAUGGGGGGACCAUCCUCCAAGGCUAAAUACUCCUGACUGACCGAUAGUGAACCAGUACCGUGAGGGAAAGGCGAAAAGAACCCCGGCGAGGGGAGUGAAAAAGAACCUGAAACCGUGUACGUACAAGCAGUGGGAGCACCCUUUGGGGUGUGACUGCGUACCUUUUGUAUAAUGGGUCAGCGACUUAUAUUCUGUAGCAAGGUUAACCGUAUAGGGGAGCCGGAGGGAAACCGAGUCUUAACCGGGCGUUAAGUUGCAGGGUAUAGACCCGAAACCCGGUGAUCUAGCCAUGGGCAGGUUGAAGGUUGGGUAACACUAACUGGAGGACCGAACCGACUAAUGUUGAAAAAUUAGCGGAUGACCUGUGGCUGGGGGUGAAAGGCCAAUCAAACCGGGAGAUAGCUGGUUCUCCCCGAAAGCUAUUUAGGUAGCGCCUCGUGAAUUCAUCUCCGGGGGUAGAGCACUGUUUCGGCUAGGGGGCCAUCCCGGCUU